GACGGGUGAGUAACACGUAGAUAACCUGCCCUCAAGACGGGGACAACCGGUGGAAACAGCGGCUAAUACCCGAUAUGCUCACAGGAUCGGGAGGUCGAGUGAGGAAAGCGCCCCUUCGGGGGAGAGUGUUUGAGGAGGGAUCUGCGGCCCAUCAGCUAGUUGGUGAGGUAACGGCUCACCAAGGCGAAGACGGGUAGGGGGUGUGAGAGCAUGGCCCCCCACAAUGGGACUGAGACACGGCCCAUACUCCUACGGGAGGCAGCAGCGGGGAAUAUUGCGCAAUGGACGGAAGUCAGACGCAGCGACGCCGCGUGGGUGAGGAAGGCCUUCGGGUUGUAAAGCCCUUUUCAGGGGAGCGAGAAAGGACGGUACCCUUGGAAUAAGCGUCGGCUAACUACGUGCCAGCAGCCGCGGUAAGACGUAGGACGCAAGCGUUAUCCGGAUUUACUGGGCGUAAAGCGCCUGUAGGCGGUCAAGUAAGUCGGAUGUGAAAGCCCCGUGCUCAACGCGGGGAAGCCAUUCGAUACUGCGUGACUAGAGAACGGCAGAGGGAAACGGAAUUUCUGGUGUAGCGGUAAAAUGCGCAGAGAUCAGAAAGAACACCGAUGGCGAAGGCAGUUUCCUAGGCCGCAUCUGACGCUGAGAGGCGAAAGCUAGGGGAGCAAACAGGAUUAGAGACCCUGGUAGUCCUAGCUGUAAACGAUGGAUGCUAGGUGUGGGCCGGAAAGGUCCGUGCUGUAGUUAACGCGAUAAGCAUCCCGCCUGGGGAGUACGGCCGCAAGGUUAAAACUCAAACGAAUUGACGGGGACCCGCACAAGCAGCGGAGCGUGUGGUUUAUUUAGAUGUUACACACAGAACGUUACUUGGGCUUGACAUGUAGGUGGUAGUGAAGUGAAAGCGGAGCGACCCUUCGGGGAGCCUACACAGGUGCUGCAUGGCGGUCGUCAGCUCGUGCCGUGAGGUGUCGGGUUAAGUCCCGUAACGAGCGCAACCCUUGUCUUUAGUUACAAGUGUCUAAGGAGACUGCCGGUGACAAACCGGAGGAAGGUGGGGAUGACGUCAAGUCAGCAUGGCCCUUAUGUCCAGGGCGACACACACGCCACAAUGGUCGGUACAAUGGGCAGCGCAGCCGCGAGGUGAAGCGAAUCCCAACAAAGCCG
rnacentral:rRNA from 1 species